rnacentral:lncRNA from 1 species
CUUGGAAGCACAACAUUUAUUUGUAUUUUUUGUAUUUUAGAACUACACAAACCCCAACUCGCUGAGUUUCUCCUGGAUCCCCAGCAAGAAUACAAGAGACCAUUUGAGGCCUGAGGUCACAAAGAAAGCACAAGGAACCGGAGAACUACAGCUGUUGGAUUUACCUGGACAUCUGUUGAUAAAGUUGGACACAUAUACCUACUCUGAAGGUAUAUAUGAUUGUAAGAUUUCUCUCUGUAAUAUUUCAGAAUUUGAUCCGAUUGUAUGUUAAUGAAGUUCAUCUGAUCCCACUCCCCAGUGACUUGCGCUCUCGGUGAAUAUGACAAGCUUUCCAAGCUGCUCGAAGGUG